rnacentral:rRNA from 1 species
UACGGAGGGUGCAAGCGUUAUCCGGAUUCACUGGGUUUAAAGGGUGCGUAGGCGGGCAGGUAAGUCAGUGGUGAAAUCUUUGGGCUUAACCCGAAAACUGCCAUUGAUACUAUCUGUCUUGAAUAUUGUGGAGGUUUUGCGGAAUAUGUCAUGUAGCGGUGAAAUGCUUAGAUAUGACAUAGAACACCUAUUGCGAAGGCAGCAAACUACGCAUAUAAUUUGACGCUGAGGCACGAAAAGCGUGGGGGAUCAAAACAGG